UUCUGCAGACCCCUUGGGGUGCACCUACAUCACUUGGAAACCAUUAGGCCAAAGAAUAUGCUGUUGGACCACUGCUGGCAAUUUCAGUCCUAGCUCAGUUCUUGAGCAUAGAUAUAAUUUCCUGUGUGGUACUCAAUAUCUCCAAGACCUAGGAUGCUCCUUGAGAGGCAUGGUACUAUUUUGAGGUUUGUUCCAGGGUCAAACAGAGUUUCAGCAUUCCCAGAAGAGAAAUGGAACUACCUCCUUGUUGUUGAACACUUUGUCUUCAUGUCACAAAUAUUCAUGCAUAUAUUCAACCAACUGCUACUUCCUGACAGGAUGGUGUUUCAAGACUAUCUUUUCUAUUUACAUUUCACAUGAAGAAAAGAGUACUGUUCCUUGAGAAAGCUCUUUCUUCAUUAGGGCAGGUUCCCUAUCCAAUCAUUUUGUAAACUGUGAAAAUAAAGAACAAGACUAAAUAAUGAAGCAAUAUUUGUGCAGUAGAAUAGACUAUUGGAAAUUUCGCUGGAGGUCCAUGACAGAACUGAAAUAAACACUUGAGUAUCUACACAUAUGGAAUAUUCCAUAGCUUGAGAGAAUCAUAUCCCCUAAUUUUUUUUCUGCUCUAUAAUGCAUUGCUGCUACUUUUGUGUUAACUAAGGGACAGUAGUAAAAUAAAUG